AGCGCCGGCCCUAGGAUUUUGAGGGCCCUCUGGCGAGUUCGUCACGACGGGUUCUCUAGUGUAUAAUAGAAAAAAGUCCAAAUAACCCCCUAAACUAACAUUUGGUUCAAUUUACUCCCUCCAACUAUAUAAGUUGGUCCAACUAAUACCUUAAAAAGUUUUUUCUUUUUUGUUUCUCUAUGCACAAAUUAUAUUUUAGUUUCAAAUUUUGUGAGGUGAUAGAGGACUUAGUAUUUUGUGUUAGAAAAAUCCAAUAUAAUUUUUUCAUCAUUAU
rnacentral:lncRNA from 1 species